rnacentral:rRNA from 1 species
GCCAGCAGCCAUAUCACUCUGCAACUCACAACUGGCAACCCACUGAAUGUAAGCAGGUGUGAGCCUAGUCAGUGCCUGGAUGGGAGACCUCCUAGGAAAAAUUAAGAUAGCUGCUGGAA